UACAGAGGUCUCAAGCGUUGUUCGGAUUCAUUGGGCGUAAAGGGUGCGUAGGUGGCGCUGUAAGUCGGGUGUGAAAUUUCGGAGCUUAACUCCGAAACUGCAUUUGAUACUGCGGUGCUUGAGGACUGGAGAGGAGACUGGAAUUCAUGGUGUAGCAGUGAAAUGCGUAGAGAUCAUGAGGAAGACCAGUGGCGAAGGCGGGUCUCUGGACAGUUCCUGACGCUGAGGCACGAAGGCCAGGGGGAGCAAACGGG
rnacentral:rRNA from 1 species